AUUGAACGCUGGCGGCAGGCCUAACACAUGCAAGUCGAACGAGUGGCGGACGGGUGAGUAAUGUCUGGGAAACUGCCCGAUGGAGGGGGAUAACUACUGGAAACGGUAGCUAAUACCGCAUACUAUCGGAUGUGCCCAUAUGGGAUUAGCUAGUUGGUGGGGUAAAGGCUCACCAAGGCGACGAUCCCUAGCUGGUCUGAGAGGAUGACCAGCCACACUGGAACUGAGACACGGCCCAGACUCCUACGGGAGGCAGCAGUGGGGAAUAUUGCACAAUGGGCGCAAGCCUGAUGCAGCCAUGCCGCGUGUAUGAAGAAGGCCUUAGGGUUGUAAAGUACUUGCAGCGGGGAGGCGUUACCCGCAGAAGAAGCACCGGCUAACUCCGUGCCAGCAGCCGCGGUAAUAC
rnacentral:rRNA from 1 species